AAUAAUUGUAGUUUUAUACUAUUCACGUUCAACGUUUGAUUGUUUGUCUUAUUUAAAAAUUUUUAUGAUUAGUAUUUUUAUUGCUAUUAGAUGAUAAAACAUGAAUAUCACUUUAUGUGUGACUAAUUUUUUUUUAUUUUUUUCACAAAUUUUUUAAAUAAGACGAAUGGUCAAACAUUGGACACGGAUAUCCACGGCUAUACUUAGA
rfam:Oryza rufipogon genomic scaffold, chr03